GUCUUUUUGAAAUAAAUUUAAAGUCUAACCUGCCCACUGAAAUUUUUAAAUGGCCGCAGUAUUCUAACUGUGCAAAGGUAGCAUAAUCAUUAGUCUUUUAAUUGAAGGCUGGAAUGAAUGGUUGGACGAAAUAUUAACUGUUUCAUUUGAAUUUUUUAUAGAAUUUUAUUUUUUAGUCAAAAAGCUAAAAUUUAUUUAAAAGACGAGAAGACCCUAUAAAUCUUUAUAUUUUGUUUAUUUUAAUUAUAAAGAUUAUUUUUAUUAUAAUAAAUUAAAAUAUUUUAUUGGGGUGAUAUUAAAAUUUAAAAAACUUUUAAUUUUUAAAGCCAUUAAUAUAUGUAUAUUUGAUCCAUUAAUAAUGAUUAAAAAUUUAAGUUACUUUAGGGAUAACAGCGUAAUUUUUUUGGAGAGUUCAUAUCGAUAAAAAAGAUUGCGACCUCGAUGUUGGAUUAAGAUAUAAUUUUGGGUGUAGCCGUUCAAAUUUUAAGUCUGUUCGACUUUUAAAUUCUU
rnacentral:rRNA from 1 species